rnacentral:rRNA from 1 species
GUGGGGAAUAUUGCACAAUGGGGGAAACCCUGAUGCAGCAACGCCGCGUGAAGGAAGACGGUCUUCGGAUUGUAAACUUUUGUUCUUGGUGAAGAAAAAUGACGGUAGCCAAGGAGGAAGCCACGGCUAACUACGUGCCAGCAGCCGCGGUAAUACGUAGGUGGCAAGCGUUGUCCGGAAUUACUGGGUGUAAAGGGAGCGCAGGCGGGAAAUCAAGUUGGAUGUGAAAUGUCGGGGCUUAACCCCGGAACUGCAUCCAAAACUGAUAUUCUUGAGUGAAGUAGAGGUAGGCGGAAUUCCGAGUGUAGCGGUGAAAUGCGUAGAUAUUCGGAGGAACACCAGUGGCGAAGGCGGCCUACUGGGCUUUAACUGACGCUGAGGCUCGAAAGUGUGGGGAGCAAACAGGAUUAGAAACCCUGGUAGUCC